UACGUAGGCAGCGAGCGUUGUUCGGAGUUACUGGGCGUAAAGGGUGCGUAGGCGGUUGUUUAAGUUUGGUGUGAAAUCUCCCGGCUCAACUGGGAGGGUGCGCCGAAUACUGAAUGACUAGAGUGCGGGAGAGGAUAGUGGAAUUCCUGGGUGUAGCGGUGAAAUGCGUAGAUAUCAGGAGGAACACCGGUGGCGAAGGCGGUUCUC
rnacentral:rRNA from 1 species